CUACGUAGGUGGCGAGCGUUGUCCGGAAUUAUUGGGCGUAAAGAGCAUGUAGGCGGCUUAAUAAGUCGAGCGUGAAAAUGCGGGGCUCAACCCCGUAUGGCGCUGGAAACUGUUAGGCUUGAGUGCAGGAGAGGAAAGGGGAAUUCCCAGUGUAGCGGUGAAAUGCGUAGAUAUUGGGAGGAACACCAGUGGCGAAGGCGCCUUUCUGGACUGUGUCUGACGCUGAGAUGCGAAAGCCAGGGUAGCGAACGGGAUUAGAUACCCCGGUAGUCCUGGCCGUAAACGAUGGGUACUAGGUGUAGGAGGUAUCGACCCCUUCUGUGCCGGAGUUAACGCAAUAAGUACCCCGCCUGGGGAGUACGGCCGCAAGGUUGAAACUCAAAUGAAUUGACGGGG
rnacentral:rRNA from 1 species